rnacentral:other from 2 species
UGCCGGCCGAGACAGCACAGACAGACCGACCGACCGACUGGGGUGUUUCGCAAUUGUGAGAGGCGGGUAACCGCGCUGCGCUCCUGUGCUGCGGCCGGUGGCUUCAUUGCCUGCGACGCCCUGCCUCUGCUGCCCGACUGGCUGGCAAGAUGAAGCUCUCCCUGGUGGCGGCGAUGCUGCUG